UGCAAGACAACAGAGAGGACGAGGAUGAGAACAAGAAAGACAAAGACAAGUAAUCUCACAUGAAAUCUGUGCCACCAUAGUUCAACAUGUACUCAUACAUGGGGAAACUAUGAGAGAAGCUGGACAGCUAGUGAAACCCAACUUAAGCCGUUAAAUAGUUGCAUCCAUUGUCCAAACUUUCAGAAAGGAAAAAAGCAGAACUGAGAGGUGGAAAUCUAUUGGAGGUAGUUGGAGACUUCUCACAGCUGAGCAGGAGACUGCCCUGGUGAAUAUGGCAAUAAUGCCACCUGACUGAGGGAAAUUCAAAUCCAAAUAGCUGAAGACAGGUAGUCUUCCAAGGAAUUGACAAAAUCAGCAUUUCCAUCAUGGACCAGAUCAUUAAGAAGAACCACAUGAGGACAAAACAGCUGUACUGUGUGCCUUUUUAAAAGGAAUUCAGAGUUAAAGAGUGACGAUUCCAAUGUAUGCAGUUCAUCUUUUAGAGGAAACCCAAAAGGAAAUAUCAGUCCUACAGAGGAGUUGGGUGUCGUCAAGACCUCCGCAAGCCCACACAAAUAUCAUGAAGGAUGCAACGUCAGAAACCAUGCCAGACUGGUCUAUGCCCAGAUCACCAACGAUCAUGCGUCCUGCUGUGGUGCAGGGCAGGGGAAUUGUAAAGUGAAGCUACUGGGACACAAGCAACAUCAAUCAUUAGACUUCCCAAUGGCAAAACUAUCUUUGGGACAUGGAAUGUACGCACUCUGUAUACAUGCUGAAAGACAAAAGAACUUAGCCAUGACCUUGCCAGAUACAAGUGGGACAUCCUGGCUGAUGAUGGACUGGAUUUUGUGAGACCAUUACAGAACAGGGUUACAAGAUAUGGUACAGCAGAGUUGACAACAAAAAACAACAUGGAGUCGGCUUCAUUGACAGCAAGGAGAGAAUGAACUCUGUCACCAGCUGUCCAGUCAGCAAAAGAAUUAUCUCCAUUUGUAUUGCUGCACAGCCACAUAACAUUAGUUAGAACCUUAGUAUAUUGCAGAAAACAAUGGCUCCCUUCUUACCAAUGAGACAGAGGUCUUGAAGAUGGAUUGAAUACUGCCAAGAACUGUACAGUUAUGAGCUUAGACCAAACACCAGCUUCCUGGACAACGUAACCAACACCCACAGGGAGACAGGGCAUGUGUCGAUACUGCAGGAAGAAGUGGAGGAAACAGUGCACACCCUUAAGGGAGGAAAGUCACCAGGAGUCAACAGCAUACCAGCAGAACCCCUGAAGCACCAAGGCCCCCAAUUCUUUAAGUCUCUAACUACCCUCUACAAGAGGAUUUGGGAAAGCAAGCAGUGGCCAAAAGAAUGAACCCAAUCCCUGAUCAUCCACCUUCCUAAGAAAGGCAACCUGAGAUUCUGCCAGAAGUACAGAACAAUCUUGAUCAGUCACCCCAGUAAAGUGAUGCUUCUUCUGUAUAGACUGAAGGGGAAGGCAGAGGAAAUACUUUUUAGAAAAAUAGGCGGGGUUCAGACUAAGACAAAGUACUGUUGAGCAGAUAUUUAACAUCAGAAUUCUGAUC